rnacentral:rRNA from 1 species
UUAAGCGACUAAGCGUACACGGUGGAUGCCUAGGCAGUCAGAGGCGAUGAAGGGCGUGCUAAUCUGCGAAAAGCGUCGGUAAGGUGAUAUGAACCGUUAUAACCGACGAUACCCGAAUGGGGAAACCCAGUGCAAUUCGUUGCACUAUUGCAUGGUGAAUACAUAGCCAUGCAAGGCGAACCGGGGGAACUGAAACAUCUAAGUACCCCGAGGAAAAGAAAUCAACCGAGAUUCCCCCAGUAGCGGCGAGCGAACGGGGAGGAGCCCAGAACCUGAAUCAGCAUAUGUGUUAGUGGAAGCGUCUGGAAAGUCGCACGGUACAGGGUGAUAGUCCCGUACACAAAAAUGCAUAUGUUGUGAGUUCGAUGAGUAGGGCGGGACACGUGACAUCCUGUCUGAAUAUGGGGGGACCAUCCUCCAAGGCUAAAUACUCCUGACUGACCGAUAGUGAACCAGUACCGUGAGGGAAAGGCGAAAAGAACCCCGGCGAGGGGAGUGAAAUAGAACCUGAAACCGUGUACGUACAAGCAGUGGGAGCACCUUCGUGGUGUGACUGCGUACCUUUUGUAUAAUGGGUCAGCGACUUAUAUUUUGUAGCAAGGUUAACCGAAUAGGGGAGCCGUAGGGAAACCGAGUCUUAACUGGGCGAAUAGUUGCAAGGUAUAGACCCGAAACCCGGUGAUCUAGCCAUGGGCAGGUUGAAGGUUGGGUAACACUAACUGGAGGACCGAACCGACUAAUGUUGAAAAAUUAGCGGAUGACUUGUGGCUGGGGGUGAAAGGCCAAUCAAACCGGGAGAUAGCUGGUUCUCCCCGAAAGCUAUUUAGGUAGCGCCUCGUGAACUCAUCUUCGGGGGUAGAGCACUGUUUCGGCUAGGGGGUCAUCCCGACUUACCAAACCGAUGCAAACUCCGAAUACCGAAGAAUGUUAUCACGGGAGACACACGGCGGGUGCUAACGUCCGUCGUGAAGAGGGAAACAACCCAGACCGCCAGCUAAGGUCCCAAAGUCAUGGUUAAGUGGGAAACGAUGUGGGAAGGCAUAGACAGCCAGGAUGUUGGCUUAGAAGCAGCCAUCAUUUAAAGAAAGCGUAAUAGCUCACUGGUCGAGUCGGCCUGCGCGGAAGAUGUAACGGGGCUAAACCAUGCACCGAAGCUGCGGCAGCGACACUUAGGUGUUGUUGGGUAGGGGAGCGUUCUGUAAGCCGUUGAAGGUGACCUGUGAGGGUUGCUGGAGGUAUCAGAAGUGCGAAUGCUGACAUAAGUAACGAUAAUGCGGGUGAAAAACCCGCACGCCGGAAGACCAAGGGUUCCUGUCCAACGUUAAUCGGGGCAGGGUGAGUCGACCCCUAAGGCGAGGCUGAAAAGCGUAGUCGAUGGGAAACAGGUUAAUAUUCCUGUACUUGGUGUUACUGCGAAGGGGGGACGGAGAAGGCUAGGCUAGCCGGGCGACGGUUGUCCCGGUUUAAGCAUGUAGGCGGAGUGACUUGGUAAAUCCGGUUGCUUAUCAACGCUGAGGUGUGAUGACGAGCCACUACGGUGGUGAAGUAGUUGAUGCCAAGCUUCCAGGAAAAGCCUCUAAGCAUCAGGUAACAUUAAAUCGUACCCCAAACCGACACAGGUGGUCAGGUAGAGAAUACUCAGGCGCUUGAGAGAACUCGGGUGAAGGAACUAGGCAAAAUGGUGCCGUAACUUCGGGAGAAGGCACGCUGGCAUUAGGUAAAGGGACUUGCUCCCGGAGCUGAAGCCAGUCGCAGAUACCAGCUGGCUGCAACUGUUUAAUAAAAACACAGCACUGUGCAAACACGAAAGUGGACGUAUACGGUGUGACGCCUGCCCGGUGCUGGAAGGUUAAUUGAUGGGGUCAGCCGCAAGGCGAAGCUCUUGAUCGAAGCCCCAGUAAACGGCGGCCGUAACUAUAACGGUCCUAAGGUAGCGAAAUUCCUUGUCGGGUAAGUUCCGACCUGCACGAAUGGCGUAAUGAUGGCCAGGCUGUCUCCACCCGAGACUCAGUGAAAUUGAACUCGCUGUGAAGAUGCAGUGUACCCGCGGCAAGACGGAAAGACCCCGUGAACCUUUACUAUAGCUUGACACUGAACAUUGAGCCUUGAUGUGUAGGAUAGGUGGGAGGCAUUGAAGUGUGGACGCCAGUCUGCAUGGAGCCAACCUUGAAAUACCACCCUUUAAUGUUUGAUGUUCUAACUCGGCCCCAUAAUCUGGGGUGAGGACAGUGUCUGGUGGGUAGUUUGACUGGGGCGGUCUCCUCCCAAAGAGUAACGGAGGAGCACGAAGGUUAGCUAAUCACGGUCGGACAUCGUGAGGUUAGUGCAAAGGCAUAAGCUAGCUUGACUGCGAGAGUGACGGCUCGAGCAGGUACGAAAGUAGGUCUUAGUGAUCCGGUGGUUCUGAAUGGAAGGGCCAUCGCUCAACGGAUAAAAGGUACUCCGGGGAUAACAGGCUGAUACCGCCCAAGAGUUCAUAUCGACGGCGGUGUUUGGCACCUCGAUGUCGGCUCAUCACAUCCUGGGGCUGAAGUAGGUCCCAAGGGUAUGGCUGUUCGCCAUUUAAAGUGGUACGCGAGCUGGGUUUAGAACGUCGUGAGACAGUUCGGUCCCUAUCUGCCGUGGGCGUUGGAAGAUUGAGAGGGGCUGCUCCUAGUACGAGAGGACCGGAGUGGACGAAUCACUGGUGUUCGGGUUGUCAUGCCAAUGGCAUUGCCCGGUAGCUAAAUUCGGAAGAGAUAACCGCUGAAAGCAUCUAAGCGGGAAACUUGCCUCGAGAUGAGUCUUCCCUGGGGCUUUAAGCCCCCUGAAGGAACGUUAAAGACUAUGACGUUGAUAGGCUGGGUGUGUAAGUGCAGCGAUGCAUUGAGCUAACCAGUACUAAUGAUCCGUGAGGCUUAACCUU